rnacentral:rRNA from 1 species
UACAGAGGAUGCAAGCGUUAUCCGGAAUGAUUGGGCGUAAAGCGUCUGUAGGUGGCUUUUAAGUCCGCCGUCAAAUCCCAGGCUCAACUCUGGACAGGCGGUGGAAACUACCAAGCUGGAGUGACGGUAGGGGCAGAGGGAAUUUCCGGUGGAGCGGUGAAAUGCGUAGAGAUCGGAAAGAACACCAACGGCGAAAGCACUCUGCUGGGCCGACACUGACACUGAGAGACGAAAGCUAGGGGAGCGAAUGGG